AAAAUGAUAAAAUUGGGUGAGCUACAUAUAUUUGAGUGGAGAGUGCAUUUAUUGAGGAAGAAGGACAGAAUGAGUUGCGUUGUUUGAAUGUUAUAAGAAGUGGACCCCACCACAGAGUUAUUGUUGCAUUCGAUAACUUAUCUUUGCUUCGCCUAACGUGAUUCCUCGUUCCAACACCAGAAUAUACAAUAGUACCACUCUCCUAUGUGGGACCCACACUCCCUACAAUUUACUCAUCAAUUUUACUUUUUUCUCCUUUUC
rnacentral:lncRNA from 1 species